UACGUAGGGAGCAAGCGUUGUCCGGAAUCAUUGGGCGUAAAGCGCGCGUAGGUGGCUUCGUAAGUCCGUUGUGAAAGUCAAAGGCUCAACCUUUGAAAGCCGAUGGAUACUGCGGAGCUGAGUGACGGAAGAGGCGAGUGGAAUUCCUGGUGUAGAGGUGAAAUUCGUAGAUAUUGGGAAGAACACCGGUGGCGAAGGCGGCUCACUGGCUCAUAUCUGACGCUCAGGCGCGACAGCGUGGGGAUCAAACAGG
rnacentral:rRNA from 1 species